GACAGAGGGUGCAAACGUUGCUCGGAAUUACUGGGCGUAAAGCGCGUGUAGGCGGACCAACAAGUCAGGCGUGAAAUCCCUGGGCUCAACCCAGGAACUGCACCUGAAACUGUCGGUCUUGAGUGGUGGAGAGGGAAGCAGAAUUCCUGGUGUAGAGGUGAAAUUCGUAGAUAUCAGGAGGAACACCGGUGGCGAAGGCGGCUUCCUGGACACUAACUGACGCUGAGACGCGAAAGCGUGGGGAGCAAACAGG
rnacentral:rRNA from 1 species